GGCACCUUCGGUGUCCGAGUUGUAAUUUGAAGAAGGUAACUUUGGAGUUGGCUCUUGUCUAUGUUCCUUGGAACAGGACGUCACAGAGGGUGAGAAUCCCGUGCGAUGAGAUGCCCAAUUCUAUGUAAAGUGCUUUCGAAGAGUCGAGUUGUUUGGGAAUGCAGCUCUAAGUGGGUGGUAAAUUCCAUCUAAAGCUAAAUAUUGGCGAGAGACCGAUAGCGAACAAGUACAGUGAUGGAAAGAUGAAAAGAACUUUGAAAAGAGAGUGAAAAAGUACGUGAAAUUGUUGAAAGGGAAGGGCUUGAGAUCAGACUUGGUAUUUUGCGAUCCUUUCCUUCUUGGUUGGGUUCCUCGCAGCUUACUGGGCCAGCAUCGGUUUGGAUGGUAGGAUAAUGACUAAGGAAUGUGGCUCUACUUCGGUGGAGUGUUAUAGCCUUGGUUGAUACUGCCUGUCUAGACCGAGGACUGCGUCUUUGACUA
rnacentral:rRNA from 1 species